UCAUACAGCUUUCAAAAUAUUCCGAACUUUUUUUUUAAAUCUUUUUGUAUGGUUACUACAUGAUCGAAUGAUUCAUAUCAUUAAAAAAAAUCAUUCUUUUAUAUGAAAAAUAUAAAUUGGAUAAUAAAUCAUAACUUAAGUGAAUAUUUUUAUUUACAAAAAUUUUUAAAUUGAUCGAAUUUAUUAAAUUUGUUGCAAUCAAGAGUUUAUGGCUUGGCAC
rnacentral:lncRNA from 1 species